rnacentral:lncRNA from 1 species
GAUAAGAUAGGUUCAUGAAAUGUCUUGUGUGACACAAUGAUGGACUUAGUGAAGGAUGAUUAAGCAUUUGCAUAUUUAAAGUCCAAAUAAUAAAUUGGGAGUCUAGCCCAAUAAGUUAAUUGAUGGACUUUUGAGUUAGCCCAAUAAACUUGGGAUAUUUAGAAUCCAAUUCGGAACCCAACAAAAUAGUUAACUGGGAG